rnacentral:rRNA from 1 species
CGUCUAUAUACGUAUAGCAUAUCAAUAAGCGGAGGAAAAGAAACUAACUAGGAUUCCCUCAGUAACGGCGAGUGAAGCGGGAAGAGCUCAAAUUUGAAAUCUUCAAGGUUUUACCUUGACGAAUUGUAGUUUAAAGAAGUGUUUUCUGUUGGAGUUUCGGUAAAAGUUCUUUGGAAUAGGACAUCAUAGAGGGUGAGAAUCCCGUAUUUGACCAUUAUUUUCAACUGUGUGAUACACUUUCAAAGAGUCGGAUUGUUUGGGAAUGCAGUCCAAAAUGGGUGGUAAAUUUCAUCUAAAGCUAAAUACUGGCGAGAGACCGAUAGCGAACAAGUACCGUGAGGGAAAGAUGAAAGAACUUUGAAAAGAGAGUUAAACAGUACGUGAAAUUGUCAAAAGGGAAGCGUUUGACACCAGUGUUGUUUUCUCGAAAAUCAAUUAAAAAUGAUUGGAUUUUGUGUUGUAUUGACUUUAUCAGCUUUCUGCACUCUUUUCUUAUCUUUUUUAAUGCACUUUUCGUUUAACAAGUCAACAUCAAUUUCUUUUGUUGUAAAAGGGUCAUUGGAAGGUGGCUUUCACUUUCGGUGAAAGUGUUUAUAGCCUUUGACUUCUGCAAUCGGAGAGAUUGAGGUCUGCAGCGUAGAUCCUUCGGGGUUAGAUACAUUUGUGCUAAGUUAUAGCCUUUCAUAGACAACUUGUUGACUAUGAUCAGUCAUGUAGCUUACUCGCUUAUGCUAUUUUACCUACGCUUAGGAUGUUGACGAUCAGCUGAGCGCG